AGAUGGUGUUGUAGUGAAUAAAAGACUCAAAAUCUUUCAUCUUCUAAUCCAUUAUUCUGUUCUCUCUAAAACUAUAUGGAAAAACCUUUAGGAAAAAUCAAAGUAGAAGACUCUCUAUUCUAAUUCUUUCAAUCUUUUUCAAGAUUAUUCUUCAAGGGUUUUGAAAGUAAGAAGAAAAGAGGAGAAUGAAGAAGAAGACGCAAGAACGCCAAGUUUAGCUUCGUGAAUCUUCGUUUGGGGUGAUUCCUAACAAGGUUGAAUUGAGGGUUUAUGAUAAGACAUUGAUGACAAACUAUGAAGGAUACUUGAUUCCGGUUGUUUAAGUGCUUUGAAGACGGUAGGAUCUCUCAUUCAUCCAAGUAGGGUAGGUCCUCGUUUUCCGAGGGCGAUGCCAUUAUCAAGCUUAUGGAGUUUGCUGUUUAGUUAAAGACUUCUAUUGUUCUUUCUUUAUAUUUAGUAUGAAACUUUGUAUAGACAUUGUGAGACAUUUUUACUUGAUGUAUGGGUUAUUCCCAAGUUCUUACAAUCUUAUUAGAUGGUUAUGAGUUGAGACAACUAUUAUUACUAUUAUUAUGUAUAUGAUAUACUUUAUAUA